AUGUCCAAAAAUAUCAGUGGCAGUUCUGUGGCAGAGAUGCAAGGAGAUGAAAUGACAUGAAUCAUUUGGGAAUUGAUUAAGGAGAAACUCAUUUUUCCUUAUGUGGAAUUGGAUCUACAUAGCUAUGAUUUAGGCAUAGAGAAUUGUGAUGCCACCAACGACCAGGUCACCAAGUAUGCUGCAGAAACCAUAAAGAAAUAUGACUUUGGUGUCAGGUAGGCCACUAUCACCCCUGAUGAGAAGAAGGUUGAGGAGUUCAAGUUGAAACAAGUGUGAAAUCACCAAACAACACCAUACAAAAUAUUCUGGGUGGCACCAGAAUAUUAAUAUUAAUAUUAAUAUUCUGAAGAUUAAUAUUAAUCUUCAGAGAAGCCAUUAUCUGCAAAAAUAUUCCCAGGCUUGUGGGCGGACGGGUAAAACUCAUCAUCAUAGGUCAUCGUGCUUAUAGGAAUCAAUACAGAGCAACUGAUUCUGUUGUUCCUGGGCCUGGAAAAGUAGAGAUAACCUACACACCAAGUGACAGAACCCAAAAGGUGACAUACCUGAUACUAACUUUGAAGAGGGUAGUGGUGUUGCCACAGGGAUGUAUAAUUAAGAUAAGUCAGUUGAAGGUUUUGCACACAGUUCUUUCCAAAUGGCUCUGUCUAAGGGUUGGCCUAUGUAUCUGAGCACCAAAAACACUAUUCUGAAGAAAUAUGAUGGGUGUUUGAAAGACAUAUUUCAGGAGAUAUAGGACAAGCAGUAUAAGUCCCAGUUUGAAGCCCAAAAGAUCUAGUGUAAGCAUAGGCUCAUCCAUGACAUGGUGGCCCAAGUUAUGAAAUCAGAGGGAGGCUUCUGGGCCUGUAAAAACCAUGGUGGUAACGUGCAGUCAGACUCUGUGGCCCAAGGGUAUGGUUCUCUCAGCAUGAUCACCAGCGUACUGGUUUGUCUAGAUGGCAAGACAGAAGCAGAGGCUGCUAACGCAGCUGUAACCCGUCACUACCACAUGUACCAGAAAGGACAGGAGAUGUCCACCAAUCCCGUUUCUUCCAUUUUCACCCAGACCAGAGAAUUAGCCCACAGAACAAAGCUUAGUAACAAGAAAGAGCUUGCCUUCUUUGCAAAUGCUUUGGAAGAAGUCUGUAUUGCGACAGCUGAGGCUGGCUUCAUGACCAAGGACUUGGCUGCUUGCAUUAAAGGUUUACUCAAUGUGCAACGUUCUGACUACUUGAACACAUUUGAGUUCAUUGAAAAACUUGGAGAAAACUUGAAGAUCACACUAGCUCAGGGCAAACUCUGAGUUCAUACCUGGGCUGAGGAGGAUAAGUGUCCUUUGGUAACUAGGUCUACGGGUUUACAUUUUUCUGUAUCACACUCAAGGAUAAAGGCAAAAUCAAUUUUGCAAUUUGUUUAGAAGCCAGAGUUUAUCUUUUCUAUAAGUUUACAGCCUUUUUCUUAUAUGUACAGUUAUUGCCACCUUUGUGAACAUGGCAAGGGACUUUUUUAAAAUUUUAUUUUAUUUUCUAGUAGCAGCCUAGGAAUUUGGUUAGUACUCAUUUGUAUUCACCGUCACUUUUUCUCAUGUUCUAAUUAUAAAUGACCAAAAUCAAGAAUGCUCCAAAGAGUAAAUGAUAGCCACAAUAUUGUUCCCUAAAAUAUGCAUAAAGUAGAAAUUCACUCCCUUCCCCUCCUACCACCUUCAGCACAGGAAGGUUCUGGCAUCAUACAUGUCCCAUUACGUGAGGUAGAGCUGUA